AGGAGAAGUGUGCCGAAAGUGGACUUUGAUACUCAGGAAAUUCAGCCAGAGGGGAUAUUACUCAUUUCAGUAUACUUUUCAUUUCGAUUUUGUGUAGUGUUUCUCUCUUUUUGGUGCCGAAUUUUUGCUAAGAUUUCGAGUACCUCUUGGGUUUUUCUUUUGCUGCUCUUUCCUUUUAUUUUUUUGUUUUGGCCGAAUAGCUUUUUAAUUCCCUCCUCUGCCGAAUUCUCUUCUCUUUUCCCUCUUCUCUUUGUUGCUUCUUUUCAUUUUUCUACUUUUCCAAACCUUGACCGAACAGUGUUGAAGUAGUUUUGUG
rnacentral:lncRNA from 1 species